GUAGGUACUCCAUUGUCUGACGGAUCUGAGAACGCUGUCUGGGCUUCGUGCCAAGGGCUGGUAUUCACACAGCAAGGACGGCCUCACAGAAGAGCUGUGGGAAGCAGGAGGGAGUGCCUCUCUUAGGGUGCCACUACUAUGGAGACACAGCUGGGCUGAACAAGAUUUCCUUCAAACGACAACAAGAGAGACAGAAAGUAUGUGAUUCAACCGCUGCCCAAGCAGGCAGGCAGGCACCAGAAGAGCUAGCAGCCAAUCCGGCCAUGCUCGAAGCCAGUCCUGCAGCUCAGCCAAUCAGUGACAUCAUUGGACAUCUCUUUAGAUUGCUCAUGAUGAUAUGAAGAUGAAACUUAAUAGCAAUAACCAAUGGAUGCUUUCCUUGGAGUCAGUUCAACACUGUGGAGAACAGAUCUUCAGGAAUGUUACUGGGAUAACUGUUCAAAUCAAAUCCCAUGCUCCUAUCAUGGUGAGUGGACCCAUUUAAAAUGCCAUUUGUAUGUGUGUGUGUGUAAUUUUUUUCAUUGGUAAUCACAGUUUUCUGGUGAUUGGUGUAGGAGAUUCAAAGAACCGAUUUCCAUGUUUUAAUUCUCUUUAUGACAGAAAGGCAAAUCCUUGCCUAGGGAUGUCGCUCAGUGGCUAGUGUGACUGACUGGCAUACUUGAAGCCCUGACUCUGCCUAGUGCCACAUACACCUGGCAGGCUGGUAUACUGAAAUUCUAGCAUGGGGAGUUUGAGGUAGGAGCAUCAAGCUCAAGGUUGUCAAUAGUUACAAAGCACCAAGAAGGAUAUUGUAUGGUAGAAUCAUUAAUUAUCCUGAAAUGCAAACAUGCCAUGCAUAAACUGGUGAAACGCUUGCUUGUCAGGUUUCUCUGAACUCCGGCCAAUGAAAAAUGCCUGAAAAUCAAUUCACUUGUUACUAACAGAUUCAUUUCACAAACAGUGUGUGAAGGAUUGAUUGUCCAUAUGUAUGUCUAUACAUGUACAUACAUAUUUACAUAUGCACUGUAGUCAAGACUGGAGAUCUUGCUCAUUGUUUGAACUUGACUAAUAGCUAUUCUUGGCUUUCUUUAAUGUAUUCACACACACACACACACACACAUACACACACAGACACACCAAACUGUUUUGGCUAAUUUUCUUAAAACCCCUUCCCCAGAGUUCCUUUGAAGGUUACUGCUUUGACCCUGAAGGUUCAGAAAAAGGAAUGUUUUUGUUUGUUUGUUUGUUUGUUUUUUAAUCUGUGUCAAUAGUUAUUAGGGAAACACAAAUUUUAAAAAAUGGCACUAGACAUACUCACCUCUGGUGACUAAAAUAAAAAUUCAUAUAAUAAUUACUAAGGAUAUGUGGGAAGUAAACUCUUAAACAUUGCUGGUACGAUGCUAACGUGAUUUGGGGAUAAAAUGCUCAUCAAGAAGCAACCUCAGGAAGGAGAGGCUUAUUUGGAUUCUGUUUGAGAGGAUGCAGUCCAUCUUGAUGGGAAAGACUUGAAAGCAAAGCAGGAGGCAGCUGGUGAUGGAUUCUGGUGCUCAGCCAGCUAGUUUUCCCUUUUUUAUUCGGCCCAGCAGUUAUAAUGAAUAGUUUUCAAUAAAUAUGCUUUGUUGACAAUGUCUAAUUUUAUAUAACUUAGUUGAAGUGAAUGUAACAAAGAAAAACCUCGACCCUGUGUAUUAGAACAUGGGGUGAUGCUGGGGUUAGUGGCGCAUGCCUUUAAUCCCAGCACUUGGGAGGCAGAGACAGGCGGAUUUCUGUUAGUUUGAGGCCAGCCUGGUCUACAGAACAAGUUUCAGGACAGCCAGAACUACACAGAGAUACCAAGUCUUGAAAAAAAAUUAAACAGUAUAAAUGACUUAUAUGUAUUUGAGGGGUUUGUGUAAAGUCCAUUAAAACAAUGUUCAUGGGAGUGAUUCUUGUCACCUGACAUCUCUCUAUAAAUAUUCCUGUGGGUUUCUCUGUUAUUUUGUGGCUCUAGGUGGAAAACCACCUUAUCUGUAAAUAAGAAUUUUAGGUGCCUUCUGUUUUUUUUUUUUCUUUUUGCUAUAACAUAAGAUUUUCAGUUCAUUGUUUAAUGGCACAGUGGUAGCUUAUAGAUGAAUAUGAAAUGACUAAACAAUAUUUGGGUUUUCCUGGUGUUAUUUAGAAUGAAUGACUUUCAUGACUGUCAUUUAAGUAUGACAUUGAGUAUUUAAUGUAUUUUUAAAUCACUAGAAUGUUAUCCAAUAACUCAUAGGCUAAACUAGAUUUUAUAAAAUUUCCCCCAAUCUUAUUUAUAUAUUUAUAAUAUGCAAAGAAAAAUUUCAAUCUGAUAAUUUUGUUUUCUUCUCCUAGCCAAUUCUUUGCUUAUGUGCCAUUUUGCAUAAAUCGCAUACUAAUCUUUGAACAUGCAUUAUUAACAACUUAAUACGUGUUUGAACUCUCAUAUAUCCCUUUACGCAUAGAGGGGGUAGGUUGCGUGGGUGAUCUCUCUCCUUCCACCACAUUCUUUCUGGGGAGUUAACCGACAUGUUCAGAGUUGGCCGCAGGUGCCUUGACCUGAUGAGCCAGCUCAUUUUCUUAUUUUAUAGUUUAUUCCAACUUGCUUUUAUUUAUUAAGAAUUUUGAAAGUAUUGAAAAAUCAUGACAGCACUUCUUGUUAGCCUUCUCCCUGGCAGUGUGAAGGAGAUGCAUACACUGCAAACGGCCCUGGAAUUUGAAGUUUUGGAAAAGAAGCAGAGCAAAGUAAUCAAGCCAAAGACUCUAUUUCUUUCCACAGUCUCUAUUUUAUAAGUAAUAUAUAGAAAGUUAAAAAUAGCUGAAUAAGUUGCCGCAUGCCUUUCAUCUCAGCACUCAGAAGGCAGACCCAUAGAAUUUCUGAGUUUGAGGCCAGUCUAACUUACAGAGCAAGUAUCAAGACACCACGGGCAACACAGAAACUCUU
rnacentral:lncRNA from 1 species